rnacentral:tRNA from 1 species
GUUUUAAUAAUUUAAAAAAAAUAUUGGUUUUGUAAGCCAAAAAUAAGAAACCUUUUAAAACU